UACGUAGGGCGCGAGCGUUGUCCGGAAUUAUUGGGCGUAAAGAGCUCGUAGGCGGUUUGUCGCGUCGGCUGUGAAAACUCGGGGCUCAACCCCGAGCCUGCAGUCGAUACGGGCAGACUAGAGUGCUGUAGGGGAGACUGGAAUUCCUGGUGUAGCGGUGAAAUGCGCAGAUAUCAGGAGGAACACCGGUGGCGAAGGCGGGUCUCUGGGCAGUAACUGACGCUGAGGAGCGAAAGCGUGGGGAGCGAACAGG
rnacentral:rRNA from 1 species